rnacentral:lncRNA from 1 species
AAGAGGAGGAAAGAAACAGCCCAGAGAGAGAGAGAGAGAGAGAGAGAGAGAGAGAGAGAGAGAGAGAGAGAGAGAGAGAGAGAGAGAGGAGGGGAGGAGGAGGGAGAGCAAGAGGAGGAGGAGGAGGAGGAGGGAGCAGGGAACAACCUACCAUCUUAACACACUAAUAUCUAAAAAGUGCGAGAGGCCCAGAGCAGCAGCAGAAGCGGCAGCAGCCCCGGCGUCUUCCCUCCCUCCCUCCCCAUGAAGAAGAGUUCCCUCCUCCUCCUCCUCCUGCUUCUCCUGCUCAGAGUUCCUGCCUCCAGCUGCCAGGGGGGACAGCCAGCCAGCAGCAGGAGGGUGAGGAAAUGGAGGUUUCCCUAGGAUCACAUAGGUAGCAAAUGGUACAACCUGGAUUCAAGCCCAGUCCCACUAAAAGUUUAUGGCAAAAGAGUAAAUGUAGAACAAUUUAACUGGAGAGUCUCCUCCCCCAUGCCAAGCAACUGAUGAGACCAGUGCCAAGAUACUGAGGCAGUUUAUACUUAGUAGGGUCACUUAGCAUCUAGUCAGCUGGUCAGACACUGGGUCUGACAAAUUGUGCAUGCUUAAUCCUGAAUGUGUACACGAAAGUCUUUGAAAUGUGGAUUUGGGAUAAACCUUGGCUUUUUCUUCACUUCAUCGGUAAGGCCCACUCUAGGUUUUCUAGGCCUAUAGCAAAGCCUUGCAUUUCUAAAGCUCCUUCAAGUGAAAGAAUAUCAUCCCCUUUGUGUUUGUGUGUAGGGUGUGUGUGUGUGUGUGUGUGUGUGUGUGUGU